UAUCCUCAGGAUUGGACUUGGAAAUUCAGGAAGAACGAUAUUGGAGAAGGGAUGGCUAUGUGGUUACAAUGUGGUAACACAAGGUCCAGGUUGACGUUUGCUCGCUGAUGUCCGAUUUCACUGUCUUGUUAUAUUUGAGAAAGGGAGGAUGUCCAACUUAAUAUAUAAAAGGUACAGAAAUUUAUUAUUUUAUAUAUGCCCUGUAGUUGAUCCCUAUGUUUCAAGAAAAAAAGGAGUUUUUAUUCUAAAAAAAUAAGAUAAUAGACCAUUGAUUUUGUGAAAUACAUGGAUAUGUAAAUAAAAACAAUGUCAACUGUCAAGGACUGCACAGUAAGCAAAUAUUUCCAGGUUUUAUACACUCAGAGGUCUAGAAGAAACAUAUUGGCCUCCAUAAAAAGGAAAACCUUAGGAAUCGAAAUGUGUGUCACAUGCAUUGUCUCGAGUAGUAGAUUUACUUUUAAGAAAAAACUCCCUCUUCCUUGGUCCCUAGAGAUUUGGGUGCCAAGAAAAAUCUGUUCUCUCAUUCAGGUUGUAAGCAGCCCUCCCCAGCAAAAGCACUGUUGAGUUCUAAUGAUGCACAGAGAAACAUCUAGCUUAGCAAUAGAGGUUGCCAAAUGCUAUUCCCAGUGAUGUAUGAGAGACUGGAGGAAAGGGUCCACACAGAAAUUGAUCAAUUUUUGGAGAGCUAGUUAGCAGGUAGGUCAUAGAACUUCCCAGUGGCAUCAUCAGUAAGCCCUUCACUGGACAAUCUAUUGUAUCUAAGAGAUCCCUAGAAUCUUCUGUGAUGUCACCAGUGUUGUGGUGACACCAACUGCCUUUGGGAUAUUCCUUCAGUUCCCUUUGGGUUCACAAACAGGCAUGUUUCACCAGCCGCUCAGGCUAUUUCAGAAGGAAAGUGUUGAUCAAGGAGAGACCACACCAAGGCUGAAGGAAGAUGACCUCCUCUCAUCUUCCUUGGAAGGAAGGAAAUCAUUCUGGGGAAGGCUUGGUUUUGGUAGGAAGGCAUCAUCCCAAAAUGUCAUCAGUAAGCAAGAGGAGUGUUUAAAGGAACUGGAGGAACUUAAAUUUGAAAUCCAGAAGUGUCAAUUCGAGAGGGAUGAAUUUUAUCAAAUCCUGGACCUUUAUAUCUAUGAUAAUUGGGACCACAGGCUGGAUGUCGAAUUGCCAAUACUUCAAUCCGAACAUGAGAUGAGAAUGAUGGCUAUGCAAAUGAUGACCAGUUCAAAGUGAGGCCAUGGACAGGUACAAGGAGCUCAUACAAGUGAACAGUUCCUACCGCAUCAGGCACUCCCAGCUUCUGCGUGAACAAACUCAAUUGAAGAACAAUAUACAGAUUUUGCUGAAUGAGAAGAGAGAACUGCUGGUGGAGCAGACUGAACGGCCAGCAUCCUGUGUGGAGGCAAAGAGGCUCUGUGAAGAGGCCGGAAUGAACAUCUGUGUCCCCAGUGCAAAGGAACAGCAGGUCUGAAAUUCUCCAGGAGAAACUCGAACAAGACACAAACCAGGGCAAGAUCUCCCUUGGAGAGAAGUGCUACAGGAGGAGAACUAAGUGUGCACAGCAAAUACACCACUAUUGCAUCUCAUCUGUAAUGUCCAUAGCAAUUGUGAACUGCAUUUUCCUCCUUUAGUUUUAUUUCUUUGGAUUGAAUAGGCCGUACUUUCACCUCCCCACCCUCCAGCAAGUGUAAACUUUUGGAGGGACUCAGAGAAGUGCUGAUGCACAUCAAUCAAGAGGUGCUGGUCAUCCAGAAAGACUGUGCACGUGUAAAUGUGUAUUGUCCUGGUGGGUCAUCCAGAAGAGUUUCAUGGAGAUCAGUUCACAACAUUGGACAGACUUUGAGAUAAAGUCUGUAAUAUCAUUUCUACUCAGUAUUGGAUGGCUUUGUCCUUAAUACCCCCACUCCAACAAAACAGACCUACUUCCACUCUUCUUGAAAAGAUUAUUACCAUCAGUAACUGCUUGUCUACUGUGUCUCCAAGGAAAGACACAGGCUAUAAAUCUAUUCUGCAGAAUGAGCAGCAAAAAAUGCUUAGCGCAGCUCCUCUAUUUAAAGUGUGGCUGAGUUUUGAUUAUUUUGGUUAUUUGGUUUUCCUCCUAUUCAUUUGAAGUUUUGUUAUUUAUGUCUUGUUGUUUUGUUCAUUUGGUUUUCUAUUUUGAUAAGGAUAUAGACUGUAUAUAUUGACAACCUGCAUCUGGUUACUAUCAUGUAAAUUGGGUGUAUCCUGGUGAAAAAAAAGUAAUCUCAAACUCUUCACUCUUAAGAACCUUCUUUAUUGAUCAUUAGUGUCAACAUCUGAAGUCCCACAGCUAUCAGGGAGGGAUGGAUCUCUGCAUUCUCAUGGGGACUGGGCAUCAAAAUCACUUCCCAGUCAGACUGAGAUUCAAAGGCAAUUAUACAGUCACUGUUCACUGUGUUCCAAACUCUGUGAAUUUCAACUUCAUAUUGCAUAUAUUACCCACUGUGUAUGCUUACUGUCAAAUAUAUAGUUACCUCUAAAUUAUA